ensembl:lncRNA
GUUUCCAUGGACUUACCGGGAUUAUAAUGAAUUAAAACACAAUAAAAAUAACCUGAUUAAGGUUAUUAAGAGGUUAUAUCAUCCUUAAGCCAUACAAAGGCUCAUGAAUAAAGGAGUGGCUGUCAGCGGAGAGGUCUGUAGUAUGAUUAAAAUUGUGGAAAAAAAACAAAAAUACUUUCCCAUCUGGAAGGGUAAGAUGAUGAAGAUUUACUGUCAAAGAAUGUUCUGAAAAGUCCUUUUCUUCCAUGCAGCUCAGGCUGGAGAACAUCCAAUUCACUUUUUCAUAUCCAACUAUGAAUGAAGCAGAAAGUACUAUGAUUUUUUCUGUAGUUUGGAUAUUAGCAAGUGUUUGUUAUGAAGGACAGCAGCACAUCGUGAUAUUAGCAAACUCAGGGGAAAAAAAAAUAAAAGGUGGGUAUGUCUCUUAGAUUUUUCUAGGUUUACUUUAUCUCACUGAAGCAAUGGAAAAUCAGUGUGAAAAGCCACUAACCCAACCAUCAUUCUGCUGUGCACAGAGAACCAGCAUCCCUUAGCAAGCCUUAUAGUAUCGCAUCCCUUUAUUAAAGCUGGUCAGAUAAACUAACAACUAUGUCACUCCUGCAGCAAGUUUCAGGAGGCCACAACUCCAUGAACCUGAAAGUUUGACUGCUGACAAGAAGUUGCUUGAAGUGGAAGUGUUACAAAGAAGCCACCUUCCCCACAGCAUUACUGCCCUGGCUUCUGUCCCCAUCUGCUCAGCGGUGCUGUGGGGCAGGCGUGCCAGCAGGCUCUGAGCAGCAGGUCCCGUGUGCUGCUGAGCUUCUCAUCAAACGCCCUGUGCUGCAUGGAUGCCUUCCUCCAGCUGGCAGUUUGAACACUUCAGUCCAGCUAGAUCUGCAGAAGUGAAUGAAGGUGGAGACUUGUGCAUUUCCGAAGCUGCUGUUUCUAGGUGGUCUUCAGGCUCAUAUAGCCAGCAAUGAACAUUCCUGUUAUAUUUACAAAUGUAACGAGGGUGGAAUUUGCACAUGACAGCGGAGGAUUUUUUCCAUGCUGUUGGCCACAGAUUCAGCAAACCGUGAGUGUUUUUCAUUUUUUUUUUCCUUUUCAUUGUUGUUUUUGUGGUUGUUGUUGUCUAACAGUAUUUGCAAAUACCGUUUGCACUUUUUAAAAAUGGCAAAAAGUACCUGUGAGGAAGUUUUAGUAAAGAAGUAUUUUUCCAUGUACUGUUGUCUGUAAUAGAGCUGUGCAGACAAUUCCAGCAAAAAAUUAUUGUUGAAAAAAAUAGGGCGGGUUUUUGGUUUUCUUUUUUUUGAGCCUUUGUUUUACUACAGAAAAGCAAAAUUCAAUGAAAUUUUCUCAAAAAAUUUCUAAAUAGAAUUUACGCAUCAGAUACAGCCAAAAUACUGAUAAAAAAAUACCAAAUUGACAUUUUGAAACAUAGCAGCUUGAAUCAAUGUUUUGUUUUGACAUUUUGAUGCAAAAUGUAGAUAUUUUUGUGUGACAUUUCCAAAGCAAGUUGGGAUUUUUUUUGGUAACUGUCCUAUGGAAAUGUUUAAUGAUUUGACAAGCAAAUGUCAAACUGUUAGAAUUCCCAUGCAACAUAAAUCCUGUUUGCUGAUCAGCUCUUGUUCAUGCCCCCUGAAAAGGAAUUAAGCCUAUCAAUGUAAUAGAAAUCCAUAUUCCUACACAAGAAGUUCCAGUUCAAAUUUGAGUUGUAGCAGUCUCACAUAAUUAUUCUUUUUUGGCAAAUUCUUUUAAGAAGCAGUGGGUGUAAUGUUUUGUCACAUGGAGCUUCUUUUGAGGAAACAUCAAAUUAGACAGAAAAGGCGUAAAGCUCAUUUCAAGGGGAAUCUAGUAACUUAUUUUAUUAUCUGAAUCCAGAAGCAAUUUUUUAUUUUGUCAAAUUCCGUGCCGCCCUCAUCUGUACAUAAGAAAAAAAAAAUAGUCUAAAAUAAUCUUUCACUGUCUUAGUGUACAGCAGCAUUCACAAAUGGUUAAUGAAUAGAUGUCCCAGAUGUGGAAGUUGCACAAUGCUCACUUUGGCUGAUAGCAGACUUUAAUUUAACCUGUUACUAAAUACCAAAGCCAGACCACUAGUUUUAUAGAACUGCAUAUGUACUAUAUAUUUAAAAGGCUGGAACCACAGCAGAAUAUUUUUGCAGACAAGAUGGAUCGUCCAUCUGAAAACGCUCUAAAUGCUCUACCUAAGAAGACUUGGUAGGAAAGCCAGAUACAGUCUCCAAGAAUGGGAUCAGAGCAGAGCCUGCCUUUAAGGCUGAUAUCUGCCAGUGUUCAAUAAGGAAUUUGAAUUUUGGUUUGACAAUGAUGAGGACACAUGAGGAACUGGAUUCUAAAUCCCCAGUUCUGAAAAUAUGCACUAGCAAAACUGCCUCCAGAAGGCAUUUGGUGGUCUCAUUUCAGUCAAUCAAAUACAAAUUUCUGGGUUUCAACCUGCUGCUGCUUUACAGUUACUUAAAUUCAUAUAAAUGAAUGGAAAAAAAAUAAAAUAGUGCAAAUAUGAGUUUACCUUUGGCA